UGGUAUUGUGCGUGUAUGUGCAAAAUAUUUAAAUUUCAAAGAAUUUUUCAUUUGGCAAAAAAAUUUUUUUGUAAUUAUUGUGUAAUUUUCAAAAUUUUUGCUUCGGAGUCUGAGUUGGAGUCGAAGUCAUAUUCUGAAAAUUUCAACUACUGGACUCGGAGUAGGAGUUGGUACUGGUAAAAUUUUACAUAAGCAAUCUCAAAGAGUAGUGUUUUUGGUGUUAUACCUGCCUAUUGCUGUAGUAAGUACACCAAACUUCAGAAAGUUCAUUUGCUAGUUGGUGAAACUUUAACUACAAAUUACGUUUCUUAAUUACAAAUUUCAUGUUCCCAAUUAUAUCUUAAAAAGGUAUUUAUUACUUACUGGAUAAAGUGGAAAGUAUAAACACAAGAACUGUACUGCAAUAUGUAAAAGGUUUGAUAAAUUGCGAACCCAUGAACAAUAAUGUUGAGAGCAGCGUCAAUAUAGAUGCCGUAACAGAUAAAACAAAUACUGAUUGCUGCCAAUCUAAAAAAAAAAAUUUUUUUUUAAACAAUAAAUAAAAAUACUUUGACACUAAACGUUUACGAGGAAUAAUAUUUUUAUUACUAAAUACCAACUUGGAAGAAAGCUGUCUUUGUAAUCUAUGUGUAAUGAAAAUAAGUUACACUCGGGCUCCAACCCUUCUUUAUGACCUUUAAUGGACUCUCCAGGUGUACAAUAAAGCAACAAUCCGUGCUCUUCGAAUUUAUUGUUUAUCAACUUUUUGUGUAUCCAAUUUUUUCCUAAAAUAAACUUAAAAAAUUUAUUCGAAAA